UUUCCGUAGGUGAACCUGCGGAAGGAUCAUUACUGAAGUGAGUCUUCAAUCAUUGAAGCUUCUUCCCAUAGUCCUGGCUUUGACCGUAUGUAAUGUUGGGGAUUAAACACGGUUGAGAGAAAUCUUUGCCGUCCCCAACAAAUUAUCUUAUCCUUUAUUAAAUUUAACUGAACUCAUUUUGAUAUUACAUAAAAAAAAAUAAGCUUUUAAUACAACUUUCAACAACGGAUCUCUUGGUUCUC
rnacentral:misc_RNA from 1 species